GGGUGUUCCUGUCCAACAAGGUAUUCCUGUCCAACAAGGGGUGUGUUCCUGUCCAACAAGUGGGUAUUCCUGUCCAACAAGGUAUUCCUGUCCAACAAGGGGUGUGUUCCUGUCCAACAAGGUAUUCAUGUCCAACAAGGGGUGUGUUCCUGUCCAACAAGGUGUUCCUGUCCAACAAGGUAUUCCUGUCCAACAAGGGGGUGUUCCUGUCCAACAAGGUAUUCCUGUCCAACAAGGGGUGUGUUCCUG